ACCUACAGAGCGCGUGCGCGAGAGAGAGCGAGAGAGAGAGAGAGAGAGAGAGAGAGAGAGGAAGGGCGUGACCAGCGAUAAAGAUACAGAACAAGGUAGAGAAAUAUGUACAUAGUAACUGAAACACUACACGAUAAUACUUCAAAUUAAACACGUUUAUCAUCACCCGAUGAUAUGAAACCAUGUGAUGAGCUUUUUAACAGGUGAUUACACAUGUAACCGAUUGGAUGAUCACUGCCGGAUCUUUCAAAAGCACACACACACACACACACACACACACACACACACACACUCCUGAUUCAAUUCUGCAUCAACAUUGUUCUACUCACACACUUGCCUCAAAAAAGUCAUUAAAUAGCUGAAUAAACCAAAAUACGUAUAAAUGAAACGUGAGCUAUUUCAUCACCCGAGCCCCAAGUCUACAUUUAGGCCUUUAAGCUUUAAGCCACGCCCCCUACCUGAGACUGGCACAAAGAAAAUGAGUUGGUUUCUCUACAGGGGUUUAGUGAUGACUGUUGUGAUGUCCUUUUGUGUGUGUGUGUGUGUGUGUGUGUGUGUAUAUAUAUAUAUAGCGUAUAUGAGAAUCAUGGCCGUCUUGGCUGAUCGAUUAUCGAUCUACUGCUUUAAAAAAAAGGUCUUUUCCUCUUCAAGAGUAACUAAUCUUCGUGCCCAGGCUUAAUCGCGGCACUUAACGGAGAUAUGACUCGGCACUUUAUUGAGCCACACUCAAUUAAAAUACAUCUAAAACCUAAUUAUAGGUCAUAAAGUUUAGAAUGCUGGUAAACAGAAAAUGCAGUGAAUGGGGCCAGCAAGGCCAUUAUUCCACAGACACGGAGACGGGCCUGGGAAGGCAGAACACACACACACACACACUCACACACUCACACACUCACACACACAAUUACAGUCGUUAUAAAUAACGGCUGGCUGAAACGUGUCUGCAUGUGAAGAGUUUAAAGAAACUCAACCCCAUUCAUCAACUGUGGAGUGCAGGAGACUGUGAGAAACUGCCAGACUCAACUGUGUGUGUGUGUGUGUGUGUGUGUGUGUGUGUGUGAGAGAGAGAGAGAGUGAGUGAGGGAGAAAUAUCAGUCCCAUGAGGGUGCUAGGUUUUUGGAAUGUGGACUCUUUCUUUUUUUAAAUGUGUACACACACACACACACACACACAAUCACAGAGUCUCCUUUGAGUUAUUUUAUAAGCUAUUGUUAGACCCCCCCCCCCCUUUCUCUCUCUAGUUACAAGACCACUGUUGCUAGGCAACCAGGAAACAUGAACACCAAGCACAUGCUAGCUACUUUAGCUAACUUAGCAAUCCGACGGCACUCACGUCCCACGAGACCUCAGACAAGGCUACAAAGCGACUACACAUCAAAUCUCGCAGGCAGGACGGAGUGAACGUUGGCGGUGUAUAAACGUAGACAGCGUUAGCAAAGCUGCGUACGAACACGGGUUUGUUUUUGUGGAUUUGUGGAGUUCACUCUCUAGCUGUUAAUCGGUCGCUGACCUUCAUGCUGAACGUGAUCGGCUCCAUGACGAACACUCGAUCGGGGAACGUUCCGGCGAUUUCCUCCACGCUCGCGAAGUACUGAACCGGCUCCCGGACAUCCCGGUCCUGAUCCAGCAGCUUAAACUUCCCUACAGAGAGAAGCAGAAUGAGAUAAACCGCAGCAGGGGAUUAUUUUGAGUUAUAUAACACGACCAAUCAGGACCAGUGAGGCAAUACACCAGAGAGAGAGGGAGAAAGACACACACACACACACACACACACACACACACACACACAAUGGCCAGGUCACAGAGUGUAGCAAACAUGUGUGAUGUUAAGUGCUCUAAUAGAACAAUCGAUACACUGUUAGCGGAGCAUCACCCCAUCAAUGCCAUUUCCCACACUCUCCCUCUCUCCGCCAUAUGCGUCUUCUCAUUCACUCGCUCCUACUAUUUAUAAAAUCAUCAUUCACGAGUAAAACUGGAUGUCACGCGACAUGGCGUCUUCGGCGUUUUGAGUCAACGGUGUACGAGGUGUGAAAACAGCCGUUCCGAGCGACGUUCCUCAAGGCUCAAGCCUAGGACCUUUGCGGUUCUCGUUUCGAGCGUUCACUUCAUGCUAAGCACAGCGUGCUAAUACGGUAAACUGCUUGUCUUUUCAUCGUUGUGCUAUAUAAUAAGUAGACUUGUGUUUUCGGUUAUUGGUUGUUUUUUUAAAUAUAAAUAUACAACAAUGGUCCUGACUAGCACAUGAUAGAAAAAAAUAUAAUAAUAAUAAUAAUAA